rnacentral:rRNA from 1 species
GGAAUUUUCGUCAAUGGGCGCAAGCCUGAACGAGCAAUGCCGCGUGAACGAGGAAGGUCUUCGGAUCGUAAAGUUCUGUUGAAGGGGAAAAAGAGCGGAGAGAGGAAAUGGUCUCCGAUUGAUAUUACCCUUCGAGGAAGUCACGGCUAACUACGUGCCAGCAGCCGCGGUAAUACGUAGGUGGCGAGCGUUAUCCGGAAUGAUUGGGCGUAAAGGGUGCGUAGGCGGCCUGCUAAGUCUGGAGUGAAAGGUACCGGCUCAACCGGUACAGGCUCUGGAAACUGGCGGGCUAGAGAGCAGGAGAGGGCGGUGGAACUCCAUGUGUAGCGGUAAAAUGCGUAGAUAUAUGGAAGAACACCAGUGGCGAAGGCGGCCGCCUGGCCUGUUACUGACGCUGAGGCACGAAAGCGUGGGGAGCAAAUA